GGUUGAAAGUGAGCUUUUUUUGCCCAGAAUUGCCCAGAAUGUGACAGACUACUGCAGAGCUUGCAAGACAUGCCAGCGGACGGGCAAAAGUGGGGACAAGAGAAAGGCUCCUGUACAGCCCCUCCCUAUCAUUGAUCAACCCUUCCAAAGAUUGGGGAUAGACAUUGUGGGCCCUCUGAGGCAUAAGACUCGUAGAGGGAAGAAAUACUUCCUGACUUUAGUGGACUUUGCCACUCGGUAUCUGGAGGCAGUUGCCUUCACCUCCACAGAGGCACCUAUGGUUGCUGAUGCCCUAACCAAGAUCUUCUUCCAGCUGGGUUUUCC